rnacentral:rRNA from 1 species
AUUGAACGCUAGCGGGAUGCUUUACACAUGCAAGUCGAACGGCAGCGCGGACUUCGGUCUGGCGGCGAGUGGCGAACGGGUGAGUAAUGUAUCGGAACGUGCCCAGUAGCGGGGGAUAACUACGCGAAAGCGUAGCUAAUACCGCAUACGCCCUACGGGGGAAAGCAGGGGAUCGUAAGACCUUGCACUAUUGGAGCGGCCGAUAUCGGAUUAGCUAGUUGGUGAGGUAACGGCUCACCAAGGCGACGAUCCGUAGCUGGUUUGAGAGGACGACCAGCCACACUGGGACUGAGACACGGCCCAGACUCCUACGGGAGGCAGCAGUGGGGAAUUUUGGACAAUGGGGGCAACCCUGAUCAGCCAUCCCGCGUGUGCGAUGAAGGCCUUCGGGUUGUAAAGCACUUUUGGCAGGAAAGAAACGUCGCGGGCUAAUACCCCGUGGAACUGACGGUACCUGCAGAAUAAGCACCGGCUAACUACGUG